AGGUGUCAAAGUUGAGCAGGAUUGAAGGAAGGAACCUCAAAGACAGUGCCAGAAGGAUGCUGAACAGGGUUUUAAUAAAUUCCCUCAUGUCCAUAUUCAACAUGAAGGGGGGUGGACCGCUGCAGAAAGAGGCAUUUGAAAAGACUGCACUGUUUUCGGUCAUUAGAGAUGCUGUGAUGACCAACUUCCCGGCAGCAACAGAGUUGGACUUGAGGAAUGCAGGUGGGAAGCAUUUUAAGCAAGAAAUAAAACCAAUAAUGAAUAAUUUCCUUUAAGUUCACUGUUGGUUGUUUUAUUUGUUCAAAUAAGUAAA